UACGUAGGGUGCGAGCGUUAAUCGGAAUUACUGGGCGUAAAGCGUGCGCAGGCGGUUCUGCAAGUCAGAUGUGAAAUCCCCGGGCUUAACCUGGGAACUGCGUUUGAAACUACGGAGCUAGAGUACGGCAGAGGAGACUGGAAUUCCUGGUGUAGCAGUGAAAUGCGUAGAUAUCAGGAGGAAUACCGAUGGCGAAGGCAGGUCUCUGGGCUGACACUGACGCUCAUGCACGAAAGCGUGGGGAGCAAACAGG
rnacentral:rRNA from 1 species